GGUUAAGCGACUAAGCGUACACGGUGGAUGCCCUGGCAGUCAGAGGCGAUGAAGGGCGUGCUAAUCUGCGAUAAGCGCCGGUAAGGUGAUAUGAACCGUUAUAACCGGCGAUACCCGAAUGGGGAAACCCAGUGUGAUUCGUCACACUAUCAUUAACUGAAUCCAUAGGUUAAUGAGGCGAACCGGGGGAACUGAAACAUCUAAGUACCCCGAGGAAAAGAAAUCAACCGAGAUUCCCCCAGUAGCGGC
rnacentral:rRNA from 3 species